GCCUUGUUAGGGUUGAAUUUUAAUGCUUGAAGUCUGCAAUUCAUCCUUUUAAAUUUAUCACCAGUUAGUUAACACGAUCUCUGUUGUGCACAGAGUAUUCCAAAGAAAUUUGUGAAGAAAUAUGGAGAUAAGCUUUCAAACCCAGUACUUCUUAAGCUUCCAAAUGGUUCAGAAUGGCCAGUAGAACUCAGAAGAUGGGAUGGUAAGGCUUGGCUUGACAAUGUUUGGCCAGACUUCUCUGACUUUUACUCUCUACGCUGCGGUCACUGGCUAGUAUUCCAAUAUGAAGGGAAUUCCAAAUUCAACGUGUUCAUAUUUGAUAGAAGUUGCACAGAGAUUGACUAUCCACAAGCAAUGCCCCAGAUGGACUCAGCUGAUCAAGAUGAUGAUUCUGAUGAUGAUUUAGACGAUUAUUCAACCCAUAGGGGGAAAUCUACAUUGCCUUGUACUAGGCCUCACAAGAAAAACAGAACAAGUUCAAGUGGGAAAGAUAAUUUUCCCGCUAAUAAACGUGGAGAAGGCAAAUCUAACACUCGAAUAUUCGAGAAACAAAGACCUGGGUAUGUUGGGAGAAUGAAUCCAUUGACUAAGAAUGGAAAAGCUACAGCUCUUGAUAGAGCUGAGGUCUUCAAAUCUCAAAACCCUUCUUCUUUCCAUGUUGCCAUGAAGCCAACUUAUCUUCGACGAUUCUAGUAAGGUUACCCUUCGAGUUUCGGAUGGGAGAACUUGGCAUGUUGAUAUGAAUUACGAUAAAGGAAAAUCCAAUUUCACUUUCUGUAGAGGUUGGUUGGAAUUUAUGCGUGACAAUAAUUUGGUACUGGAUGAUGUGCGCGCUUUUGUGUUGAAUACCAACAACACUAAACCUUUGUUUGAUGUCGUCCUUUUCCGAGCCCAUGAUGAUGGGGAAAAAACAGUGCUUGAGAUACAAGAAGGUGAUUUUCUACCGCGCCCAAAAUCGGAGGGGAGAUCUCCAAUAGCACAGCAGUCCAACAAGAAAAAGAGAACAAGUUGGAGUCCGAAAGCUAGAGCUGGUCCUGAGUUUUUAGGAGCCUGGGACAAAAUUCUAAAUUGAGUUCCUUCUGAAGACACCCUCACAAGUCACAAGUUUCAGUAUAUCUAACUUUGACAAUUUGGUGAAAUGUCCCUGUACCACUGGGUUUUAUGGCUUUCUAUUUUUUUGUUGUCUCGCUUAGCCAAGGACAUUUUUAGACUCCUUUCUUUAAUUGCGUGAUGUAAUGGUGUUUUUCUUUUUCUUGGUUUUUGAAUUCUCCUUUUGGUCAUAAAAAUUUACCUUUCAUGUAAUUAUUAGCUAUAUCAAACUAACAAAAUGAAAUAUGCAUUGCUGCUGUUUA